AUGUGCCACUAAGUCUGAUGUGGAGAAGGAUAAUCAACACAAGGGUGCAUUACAAUACUCUUAUCAAGAUAGCAAAAGAAGACGGUGAAAAGAAAAAAUGAAGAAAAAAGUGUACACAUUUCAGAGAUGGAUGAUUCUAAUCAAGUUACAGUUAUUUGUUAUUAUUUUUUAAUGCAAGUGAACUUAUGAUUACUUAGUUGGAAGUGAACAGAGAAAAUGGAUAUGCAAUGGUUGAUUACAAAAGCUCAUACAAAGAAAGAUUGCUUUCCUACCAACAAGAUUAGGAGUUAUCACUAUUGAAAAUUGGAGAUCAACAGAUCACGCAGUUUUUAGCAUCUAAAUACGGGCCCGAAAUCGAAAAAUGAUGUGAACUGUGACGCUGGAUUGCAGCUGGCAAAAGAGCUGUGGCGGACAAAGGGAACCACCUCUUUCAUCAGUCACAUAUAUAGUAUCAAAGGGAAAGAGCUAUCAUUUUUAGUAGUUUUUUUUUUUUUCAUUUUCUUGAAUGUAAGCCCACUUAGUGUAUUUUUUUAGGCUGGUUUGUUCUACUUCUUAUCAAUAUGGGAACCACUAACAUAAAUUCUACAGGAUCAUUGUUGCAAGAUGAAUUUUUUUAAUGGCAAACGAAUGCUAUACAAGCCCGACCAUUCCGGUAAACUAAUUGGUGAAAGGUCACCCGCGCUUUGUGAAAACAGAUAGUUCUGAUGAUCAGGCCCACCCACAAUUCAAAGGGAAACCCACAACGUUAAUAUAUGUUAGUUUUGUUUGUCAUGUAUUUUGUGUAAUCUGACUCUAUUUUAUUUCUUUGUGUUCAUAGGUUCAUUCAUAUUGUUACUAUAUAAUACAUCAACGUAACCCGUCCACCGGACGGGUAUUAAACUAGUUAUGAUUAUGGUAACGGUCUGUGAAAUUUCGU
rnacentral:lncRNA from 1 species